rnacentral:lncRNA from 1 species
GCUCAGUUAAUACAGUCUGGUAAAUACCUAUACUUGGUUUCUCAUGCAUUUAUCUGCUCAUGCAAUGGUUUUAAUCAGUGAUAUUGGGCUUUUUCAAGGUUCAGUGUAGAAAUGUACAGCUUGCUUGGCCUCUGAACAAUAUUUUUACUUUAAUAUGUUAGAGAUCAUGUCCAAAGGAUUUGGGCUAAAUUUUCAUAGAGUUGGACCAAGGAAACUUCUAUGGUAUGAUCCCACUUUCCCUGCACUAACAGCACAUGUUCCCUGCCAUUUCUCCAUGGUUUAAGGUGGAACUCAUUCUCACUGGCUGUUUUCUGCGAUACUUAAGUACAAGGGCAAGUUCAAUGUAACUUGUGUAAAAUUAUUGGACUCGACCAUUGUAUACUGAACCUAAAUUCUCCCAAACAUUUUUUUCCCCCUAGAUAUUUCCUAUAAUUUACCAGGAACUGUGAAAAUGAAGUUUAAAUUCAUUUCCUACUUGCUGAAAUGAUUUUAUAUGUAAAUUGAGGAACAGGACGUAUGACGUGAUCUUGCAGACUUCCUGGGGGAGAUAUAUUCAAGUUAGACCCUUUCUGGACCCCUAGUUACAUUCUAUAUACAGACUUUAGGUAGUGCAGAUUAUUGGGAUUUGCUAGAUAUAUAAGCUGAGAAGCUUGACGAUUCUACAUUUCAUGGUCAGAAGUUACUACAUGACGAACAUAGAUAAAAAACAACACAAGCUCAUUAAGCUGUAGAUGCACAACGGCAAACUAAAUUCCCACACUAGUCAGUGAUUUCCUCCUGUACAUCGUGAUUCUAAUGCCCAAGGGAAGUAGUAAAAAUUGGAAUCCCCUACAACAGUUGAAAAUACUGAUGGUAUGUCUAUAAACUCCAAAGUUCUGCUCUGUUGCAGGGGUUCAUUGAAGGUGAAAAUCAACAUAGUGGUAUUUGAAUUAUUCCUUGAAAUAAGUUAGAGCUUAAAAACAGAAGAAAAGGGAAAGAGUGCAUGGGAAAAAGGGAAAGAGUGCAUAUAUCCAGGGGUAGCAGGCAGUGACUGGGAGCAAGAAGAGUGCUGAAAUGGACCUCAGAGAAAGAGAGUUUCCCUUUUCAAGCCUUCAUUUGGUAUAAACCAUGCUGGUAUCCAACAGCUGUCUUAUUCCCCGGAAGUUUUAGUUAUAACGAACCAGGAAUUCUCAUCAUGAGGUUUAAAUCCAUUCUUGUUGUGUUCAUGUUGUGAACUGGGGAUUGGCACUCGCUCUCUGCCUCUACACGGACUGAAUCAUGAGCCUCUGCAGCUGCUGGCCUUCAGCACCCCCUGAAAGGAGCUCAGGGUGGAGACCAGGAGUGAGACGCUCUGGGCUCUGGGAAAGCUGGCAGAACUGGUCUUCAGAUAAUUAGAUAUUUUCAGGAGAAGAGUUGACGAGCCCAAUUCUUGCAUCUCCUUGUAUCUAGAAAAACACUAAGAUCCCUCAUGGUGACACCUGCUCCUCGUGACUAGCAGUAACUUUCACAGGACUAGCAGCAAACUUCUGCAAAAAGUGUGCCUGGUUGCAUGUACCUUCCCUCUUUACCAAAAUCACAUACAUAUGACCCCCCCCCCGACCUCUUUGGAGUGGUUUUUCAGAGUCCUCAUUUCUCCUGCAAUAAAACUUAACUCUCAACUUUUCGGGUGUGCCUAUUUUUUAAGUCGACCUCAUGAAGCUAGAUCUGCAUUCUUGCACCAAAGAUGAGAAGAUUUUCAAUGAUAGGAGAUUGGUAGCCAUUGGUCACCAACCUCUGUGUAAGCUGUCAUGUUUAUAAAUUGCUAUGGAGAAUCUUUCAGUCUCUGUUCUUCAGAAUUAAGCUUUUCAAUCCCUUUUGAUCUUUUUCUCCCUGGGUUUCAUUUUCUAUGUCUUAACUUAUUUGACUCCUUACUGAACUACACAAGCAAUAGCUCUUCAUGUGGCUUGAAGGAGAAAGAGAAUGAUAAAAAUAUACUGCUCCUAAGGGGCGAAUGAUGUGUAUGUGUGUGUGUGUUUGUGUGUGUGUGUGUGUGUGUGUGUGUGUGUAUGGCACAUACAUGCUGCUCUACAAUGUCUUCUUCUAUUGGCAAGUAAGCAUUUUUUCCUUUUGUUCCACUUUCCUUGCCAGGGAAACUCAUUCCACUGCUAAGUAAAACAACAUGGAAGACAAGAAAAGAUACAGUGACUUUCAGACCCUUCCUAAACAACCAGCAGUGACUUUCAGACCCUUAAACAACCAGACAGGACAGGAGUAGCUUGACUAUCGAAUGAAGAGAUGAAUGUGGAGGUUCUAGCCUUGGUCUGGUCUUCAUGGUUCUGAAAGCAAUUCUUCUCACCUCUCUGUAUUUCAUUUCCCUAUUUAUAGAAUGGAGAUGAAAAUCCCUUCUCUUAUUUCCCAAGACUAUAUCUGGUGGACUAAAAUCAAAUCCUUUUUUCUUUUCUUUUUCUUUUUAAUAGGACCAUACUGUAGCAUGUGGAAGUUCCCAGGCUAGAGGUCAAAUUGGAACUACAGCUGCCAGCCUACCUGCCACAGCCACAGCAACGCAGGAUCUGAGCUG